rnacentral:rRNA from 1 species
GAUGGCGACCGGCGCACGGGUGAGUAACACGUAUCCAACCUGCCGAUGACUCGGGGAUAGCCUUUCGAAAGAAAGAUUAAUACCCGAUGGCAUAGUUCUUCCGCAUGGUAGAACUAUUAAAGGAUUUCGGUCAUCGAUGGGGAUGCGUUCCAUUAGGUUGUUGGCGGGGUAACGGCCCACCAAGCCUUCGAUGGAUAGGGGUUCUGAGAGGAAGGUCCCCCACAUUGGAACUGAGACACGGUCCAAACUCCUACGGGAGGCAGCAGUGAGGAAUAUUGGUCAAUGGACGAGAGUCUGAACCAGCCAAGUAGCGUGCAGGAAGACGGCCCUAUGGGUUGUAAACUGCUUUUAUAAGGGAAUAAAGUGAGUCUCGUGAGACUUUUUGCAUGUACCUUAUGAAUAAGGACCGGCUAAUUCCGUGA